rnacentral:rRNA from 1 species
UACGUAGGGUGCAAGCGUUGUCCGGAAUUAUUGGGCGUAAAGAGCUCGUAGGCGGUCUGUCGCGUCGGCUGUGAAAACCCGGGGCUCAACCCCGGGCCUGCAGUCGAUACGGGCAGACUAGAGUGCGGUAGGGGGAGACUGGAAUUCCUGGUGUAGCGGUGAAAUGCGCAGAUAUCAGGAGGAACACCGGUGGCGAAGGCGGGGUCUCUGGGCCGUAACUGACGCUGAGGAGCGAAAGCGUGGGGAGCGAACAGG